rnacentral:rRNA from 1 species
AUUGAACGCUGGCGGCAGGCCUAACACAUGCAAGUCGAGCGGUAGAGAGGUGCUUGCAUCUCUUGAGAGCGGCGGACGGGUGAGUAAUGCCUAGGAAUCUGCCUAGUGGUGGGGGAUAACGUUCGGAAACGGACGCUAAUACCGCAUACGUCCUACGGGAGAAAGCGGGGGAUCUUCGGACCUCGCGCCAUUAGAUGAGCCUAGGUCGGAUUAGCUAGUUGGUGAGGUAAUGGCUCACCAAGGCGACGAUCCGUAACUGGUCUGAGAGGACGACCAGCCACACUGGGACUGAGACACGGCCCAGACUCCUACGGGAGGCAGCAGUGGGGAAUUUUGGACAAUGGGCGCAAGCCUGAUCCAGCAAUGCCGCGUGCAGGAUGAAGGCCUUCGGGUUGUAAACUGCUUUUGUACGGAACGAAACGGUGAGCUCUAAUACAGUUUGCUAAUGACGGUACCGUAAGAAUAAGCACCGGCUAACUACGUG